AUCUAAAUAGCUUAUAUAGAGUGUAACACUGAAGAUGUUAAGGAAAUUUAUUAAUUUUUAGAUA
rnacentral:tRNA from 1 species